UCCAGAGGUGAUGGCGAUUUAGUCUUUAGCACUGCUUAAGAUCGAUCAACUCAAAUUUAUUGCAUCAGGAAGCUCAACCAUCGUCCUUACAUCGACCAACGCAGUUAAUAAAUAAUUUCAAUCCAGAUCUUUGUUUUCAUCUGUUCUCAAUCAUUUUCAAUUGUUAUGGUUGCUCCAACUGAUAAUCGUAUGCCUCUCCGUAAUUGCCAUCAUAUCGCUGAUAAUCUUCUCCGUCAGGCCAGUAUCUAUAGUGAAGAGAAGAAUGUCGUAGACUUGGAUCACGCUUCCUAGAUACUGUAGAUUCUGUAAUAAGUAAUAACUUAAUAAAGCCGAUGAUGAAUCCUUUAUUGUUGGAAGUGGUUUCUGUUGGUAUCGUAUAUAAGAUUCUGUUGAAUGUCUUGCUGUCCACCGUGAUUCAACCUCCAGACCUGAUAUUAACAAGAUCAUGCAACUGGUAUGGCCGACAACAUCUCAAGACACAUUACUGUUAUCGGCCCAGCAAACAUUAAACUAACCGAAUGUGUUUAUAAACCAUUAACAAGAAAACCGUUGCCCUGGAGCACCUUUUACGAAAGAGUCUCUUGCUGAAGCUAGAAAACUUGGACAAGAAAGAUAGGGAAAUAAGAAGAAAGCCUGAGUUGAAAAACAACCUUGAAUCUUAUGUUUAUGCUACCAAAGAGAAGGUACAGAUCACUAUCUCGGCUACUUCAUUGUUCUUUUAUUGCUAAAUCGUCGCUUUCUCUUUACCUAUUAUGAUGUUUUCAGUUAGCAUUCUUCUCAAGACUCAGGGCUUUGGUUUUAUUUUGGUCAUUGUACAGCUAGAUACACCCGAAUUUGAAAAGGUUUCCACACAAGAAGAGCGCAAGACGUUUGUUGAGAAGCUUGAUGAGGCAUGUGCAAGAUUGGCUUUACAUGGACGGAGAAGAUGGUAACCAAUUUGGGGGAGGUUCCCCUCCGUUCCAAGAAGAAGAUUGAACAUGGUGGUAUAAAGGGAUCCAAUGGAGGAAGAAGAAGAUGUAGAACAUUUUGAGGAUUUGAAAGAAGAAGAUAUUUGAUCAAUAAAGAAACAACGAAGGGAAUAAUGUUGAUGUUGACCGUGACGGUAACAAACCCACAAGUAGAGAUAAUGCCUCUUCUUCAGACAACGUUGAGGCUUUGGCGGUCAGGCAGUAUGAUGAAAGAUGAUUAUGGUUCUGAUGAUAAGGAGGAGCCAUGAUCGUACGCCUAGAGAGAUCCCAGUAGCAUCGACCGAUGAGAUUAACACUGUCUCCGAAGAAGCAGGUGGCGUGACAGCAGAAUUAGGAGUGGCUGCAAAUGCGAACUACUGCAUCAACUAAUCCGAUACUUGACCUCAAUGAGAAUGUUCAGAACAGGGCACGCCAGGGAUAGCUGGACGUGUAGAAGACAAAUCCACACUCUCUUUGCUUUCCAACUAAUGUUUACCAGCACUUUCUAUUUUUUCCCAUUUAAAGUUGAUGUCGUUGUUGAUGUUCGAACUACUAAUGCAAGUUAUUUUCAUUCGAUGUC